rnacentral:rRNA from 1 species
AGUGAACGCUGGCGGUAGGCCUAACACAUGCAAGUCGAACGGCAGCACAGUAAGAGCUUGCUCUUACGGGUGGCGAGUGGCGGACGGGUGAGGAAUACAUCGGAAUCUACUUUUUCGUGGGGGAUAACGUAGGUAAACUUACUCUAAUACCGCAUACGACCUACGGGUGAAAGCAGUGGAUCUUCGGACCUUGCGCGAUUGAAUGAGCCGAUGUCGGAUUAGCUAGUUGGCGGGGUAAAGGCCCACCAAGGCGACGAUCCGUAGCUGGUCUGAGAGGAUGAUCAGCCACACUGGAACUGAGACACGGUCCAGACUCCUACGGGAGGCAGCAGUGGGGAAUAUUGGACAAUGGGCGCAAGCCUGAUCCAGCCAUACCGCGUGGGUGAAGAAGGCCUUCGGGUUGGAAAGCCCUUUUGUUGGGAAAGAAAAGCAGCAGGUUAAUACCCCGCUGUUCUGACGGUACCCAAAGAAUAAGCACCGGCUAACUUCGUG